UCUCUCUCCCCUUCCCCCAACUUGGUGUUUCUUCCAGCUCAGCCUCCUUCUCAUUCCAUCUCUACGUGCCCAGAGCUUCAAAUACAACCCUCCCCUCACAGUCAGACGGGCACAAAACUUCAACCAGCCGUUUCUCUGCUUGGAAGCGGUGAGAAUGUAAUCUGGACGGAAUCCCAAAUUAACAGAGGCUUCCUCUGUGUGCUGGGAGGAUGCCAGGCAAGCUUCCCAGCCUGGAACUGGAAGAUAAUAGUAAUUAAUGGAGCCGGUUUGUGUGAGGAGCCUCAGCCUGUGAGGCAAGUGGAAUAGCUCUGGCUCCCAGAGCCCCUGAUCUUGAUGGUGGGGUGGAUCUCAGCUUAAGUCCAUACCACCUACUGUGAUGUCCACCUAAGCCACAGGAAGCCUGUGAGUCCUUGCCACACCAGGCAUCGGGCACCCUCCUCUCUGCCCUGCCAUCUCCACUGUUGCUUUCUCCAUGCACCAUGGGGUUGUGAGAACUUGGUGGCGCAGGGCGCAUUGCAGGCUUCAUGGCUGGGAGUGGCUGGAGAUAUCUCCUGGUGUCUGACCU